rnacentral:rRNA from 1 species
GACGAACGCUGGCGGCGUGCUUAACACAUGCAAGUCGAACGGAAAGGCCUCUUUCGGGGGGUACUCGAGUGGCGAACGGGUGAGUAACACGUGAGUAACCUGCCCUGGACUUUGGGAUAACUUCAGGAAACUGGGGCUAAUACCGGAUAGGAGCUCCUGCUGCAUGGUGGGGGAUGGAAAGUUUCGGCGGUUGGGGAUGGACUCGCGGCUUAUCAGCUUGUUGGUGGGGUAGUGGCUUACCAAGGCGUUGACGGGUAGCCGGCCUGAGAGGGUGACCGGCCACAUUGGGACUGCGAUACGGCCCAGACUCCUACGGGAGGCAGCAGUGGGGAAUAUUGCACAAUGGGUGGAAGCCUGAUGCAGCAACGCCGUGUGCGGGAUGACGGCCUUCGGGUUGUAAACCGCUUUCGCUCAUGACGAAGCUUUGUGUGAGGUAGUGGGUAAAGAAGCACCGGCUAACUACGUG